ACUGUUUUAACAAUGAAGCGAGUGGCGAACUGGUGAGUAACACCUGGGAAAUCUGCCCAGAAGCAGGGGAUAACACUUGGAAACAGGUGCUAAUACCGUAUAACAACAAAAUCCGCAUGGAUUUUGUUUGAAAGGUGGCUUCGGCUAUCACUUCUGGAUGAUCCCGCGGCGUAUUAGUUAGUUGGUGAGGUAAAGGCCCACCAAGACGAUGAUACGUAGCCGACCUGAGAGGGUAAUCGGCCACAUUGGGACUGAGACACGGCCCAAACUCCUACGGGAGGCAGCAGUAGGGAAUCUUCCACAAUGGACGAAAGUCUGAUGGAGCAUGCC
rnacentral:rRNA from 1 species